AGAAACCAGGAUGUGGCAUCUGUCACCCCAUUUAUCGCCGGGUUGAUUCGACUGAUCUGGUUGGCUAGGCAGAUGUCCCAUCCUUCCCUCACCGCUCCAUGUGUGGUCUCCCUAAAGCCACACACUCGGUCCAAGAGGACGUCCAUCCCCACUAGAGGAGGACUGUCCUUGGGUCAAGGGCAUGCAAGUAGCUGUGUUCCUGACAGAACCUCCAGGCAAGCUCUUGAAAAACCAAAAUGGGUGUGUUAUUU
rnacentral:sRNA from 1 species